GAUGAACGCUGACAGAAUGCUUAACACAUCAGCAAUUGAUUGGUGGCGGACGGGUGAGUAACGCUUAAAGAACUUGCCUCACAGCUAGGGCCAACAUUUGGAAACGAAUGCUAAUACCUAAUACUGUGAGAGAGCUUUGCGUCCCAUUAGCUAGUUGGAGAGGUAACGACGCACCAAGGCGAUGAUGGGUAGCCGGCCUGUGAGGGUGAUCGGCCACAAGGGGAAUGAGACACGGGCAUUACUGCUACGGGAGGCAGGAGUGGGGAAUAGUGGAAAAUGGACCAAAGUAUGAUCAAGGAAUUCGGUGUGAACGAUUAAGUUUUCGGAAUGAAAAGUGCUUUCAGAUGGGAAGCGGUACCAACAGAAGAAGUGACGGCUAAAUACGUGCCAGCAGCCGCGGUAAUUC
rnacentral:rRNA from 1 species